rnacentral:rRNA from 1 species
GUAGGGGACGAGCGUUGUCCGGAUUCAUUGGGCGUAAAGCGCGCGUAGGCGGCUCGGAAAGUCGGGCGUGAAAUGCCGGGGCUCAACCCCGGGACUGCGUCCGAUACUUCCGAGCUGGAGGUAGGUAGGGGAGAUCGGAAUUCCUGGUGUAGCGGUGAAAUGCGCAGAUAUCAGGAGGAACACCGGUGGCGAAGGCGGAUCUCUGGGCCUUACCUGACGCUGAGGCGCGAAAGCUAGGGGAGCGAACAGGAUUAGAUACCCUGGUAGUCCUAGCCGUAAACGUUGGGUGCUAGGUGUGGGCGGACAUCGACCCCGUCCGUGCCGAAGCUAACGCAUUAAGCACCCCGCCUGGGGAGUACGGCCGCAAGGCUAAA